rnacentral:lncRNA from 1 species
CUCACUUACCACCGACCAAUGUGUUCUUUCUUUCUCUAGUUCAUCCAUACCUUGCACAAGCCUCUCAAAAGGUGAGAUAAUAUCCAUAUAGCUUUCUACAGUUUUUACAGUAUAUGAAGGAUAAGUAUAUGAGCUUCAGUAUACUUAUUAAUACUUCGGAAGCUCAACGUCAUCCACUACUGUUACCACUUCCUGUAGCUCAAAGCCAGUUUUAACUCUUGUUCCCUUUAAUUGACUUUUAAACAGCCAUCUCAGCUUUUUAAUGUGCUAUUGUCUAAGAGUCUGCCUGUAUUGUUCUAAUUCAAUUCUAUAUGUUCUAUCCACAUUGUUAUAAUCUUCCCCACACUGUCUACCUAUCUCCGUCAACUGCAUCUUAAGCCUAAACAUCUUUCUCUUACUUUCCGUUAUAGCUGGUUUUAAGCAUAUUCUUCUAGUAUUAUUCAAAAUUUUUUUGGAAUAAUACUAGAAGAAUAUGCUUAAAACCAGCUAUAACGGAAAGUAAGAGAAAGAUGUUUAGGCUUAAGAUGCAGUUGACGGAGAUAGGUAGACAGUGUGGGGAAGAUUAUAACAAUGUGGAUAGAACAUAUAGAAUUGAAUUAGAACAAUACAGGCAGACUCUUAGACAACAGCACAUUAAAAAGCUGAGAUGGCUGUUUAAAAGUCAAUUAAAGGGAACAAGAGUUAAAACUGGCUUUGAGCUACAGGAAGUGGUAACAGUAGUGGAUGACGUUGAGCUUCCGAAGUAUUAAUAAGUAUACUGAAGCUCAUAUACUUAUCCUUCAUAUACUGUAAAAACUGUAGAAAGCUAUAUGGAUAUUAUCUCACCUUUUGAGAGGCUUGUGCAAGGUAUGGAUGAACUAGAGAAAGAAAGAACACAUUGGUCGGUGGUAAGUGAGGUCAAGAGUAGAAAGUUCAAAAGAAGAU